rnacentral:rRNA from 1 species
AAAAGCACCCCGGAAGGGGAGUGAAAUAGAACCUGAAACCGUGUGCUUACAAGUAGUCAGAGCCCGUUAAUGGGUGAUGGCGUGCCUUUUGUAGAAUGAACCGGCGAGUUACGAUUUGAUGCAAGGUUAAGCAGUAAAUGUGGAGCCGUAGCGAAAGCGAGUCUGAAUAGGGCGUUUAGUAUUUGGUCGUAGACCCGAAACCAGGUGAUCUACCCUUGGUCAGGUUGAAGUUCAGGUAACACUGAAUGGAGGACCGAACCGACUUACGUUGAAAAGUGAGCGGAUGAACUGAGGGUAGCGGAGAAAUUCCAAUCGAACCUGGAGAUAGCUGGUUCUCUCCGAAAUAGCUUUAGGGCUAGCCUCAAGUGAUGAUUAUUGGAGGUAGAGCACUGUUUGGACGAGGGGCCCCUCUCGGGUUACCGAAUUCAGACAAACUCCGAAUGCCAAUUAAUUUAACUUGGGAGUCAGAACAUGGGUGAU